GACGAGAGUCAGCCCGAACACAGCUGCUGUAGCUGAGAGGACGGGAGACGUGCUAUCAGGGCUCAUGUUCUCCUGCAGAAAAGAAUUGCAAACUCUGAAAAACUACAUUCAACAAUAACAACAACAAUCUGAAGGCACUGAUGAGUGAACAAAAGCAGAUAGAUACUGGAGCAGAGUCAACACUAGGAAGAAGGAAACAGCAUGGCAGCUUCCAAACUAUGCUGCCAGUUCCACCAGGACUUCAAGUCAGGCAAGAUAGAAACCAGUUCCUCUGCCAUCCCCAGUCAGGAAAGUAAAGAGCUCAAGUUGGAGUGUGGAUACCAGUGCAGAUGCAGAG